CCUUAUUCCCUCCCUCUGACCUGUUCCCCUCCCCACCCACUCCUGCAUCUUGGCCCUGGCAUUCCCCUGUACUGGGGCAUAUAAAGUUUGCAAAACCAAGGGGCCUCUCUUCCCAUUGAUGGCCAACUAGGCCAUCUUCUGCUACAUAUGCAGCUAGAGAUACCAGCUCUGGGGGUACUCGUUAGUUCAUAUUGUUGUUCCACCUAUAGGGUUGCAGACCCCUUCAGCUCUUUGGGUGCAUUCUCUAGAUUCUCCAUUGGGGGCCCUGUGUUCCAUCUUAUAGAUGACCGUGAGCAUCCACUUCUGUAUGUGCCAGGCACUGGCAUAGCCUCAUACGAGACAGCUAGAACAGGGUCCCUUCAGCAAAAUCUUUCUGGCACAUGCAAUAGUUUCUGGGUUUGGUGGCUGAUUAUAGGAUGGAUCCCCAGGUGGGCUAGUCUCUGGAGAGUCCAUCCUUUUGUCUUAGCUCCAAAAUUUGUCUCUGUUACUCCUUUCAUGGGUAUUUUGUUCCCUAUUCUAAGGAGGAAUGAAGUAUCCACCCAUUGGUCUUCCCUCUUCUUGAUUUUCUUGUGUUUUGCAAAUUGAAUCUUGGGUGUUCUAUGUUUCUGAGCUAAUAUCCACUUAUCAGUGAGUGCAUAUCUAAUGACUUGUUUUGUGAUUGGGCUACCUCACUAAGGAUGAUAUCCUCCAGAUACAUCCAUUUGUACAAGAAUUUCAUAAAUCCAUUGUUUUUAAUAGCUGAGUAGUACUCCAUUGUGUAAAUGUACCACAUUUUCUGUAUCCAAUCUUCUGUUAAGGGACACCUGGGUUCUUUCCAGUUUCUGGCUAUUAUAAAUAAGGCUGAUAUCAACAUAGUGGAGCAUGUGUUCUUAUUACCAGUUGGAACUUCUUCUGGGUGUAUGACCAGGAGAGGUAUUGCUGGGUCUUCCGGUAGUAUUAUGUCCAAUUUUCUAAGGAACCUCCAGACAGACUUCCAGAGUGGUUGUACAAGCUUGCAAUCCCACCAGCAGUGGAGGAGUGUUCAAGAGGGUUAAAUAUUUAGUCAGCUGUGUGUCUGGGCAGGUGUGAGUUGUCUCGCACAAGAAAGCUACUCUUCAAAACAGAAAAAUUGGUCAGUAUAGCUGGGUUAUCCUAGCCCCCAGGUUCCUAACCGCUGGAACCAUCAAUGGGCCACCUGACUCCAAAACAAGCACAAUCUAGUUUAGACAAGGUCGGAGUUUUCCAUUCGAAAAGGAGACAUCAUAGGCAUGGUCUCCAGUAAAAUCCCCCAUGGGAAAUGUCAGGCACUGCCCAACAUGGCCAAAUAAUAUUAUCUUUAGCCAUCAAAAAAUAGCAGGAGCCCCACUGCAUAAAUCACAGUCCCAGCCUGAGGUGGGUAUGUGUUGUCCUCAAUAAGAGAAAGUGUGGGAGAGCUGGCACUGCCACCUGUUGGCCAUUCAGAGAUGUGGACAAGAAAGAGAAAACCUCCUCUGCCUUUGUACCUCACCACCUACAUCAAGCAUGAGAUUUGACUCUGGUGUGAUUAGAGCAGGAGAGCUGCCCCUGCCACUCACUCGCUACAGCACUCGGGAGUUCAGGCCCUGGACGUUGCCUGGGCAGCACAGUAGAGUUAGCCCUGGAUAUAUGGGUUGUGUAUGAGCAAGCCCCAAGGGUCCUGCUCUUGUCUGCUAGGCAAUGAUGAGGAUGAGGGAGAGAUCCCUCUCCCCUCAUUCAUGCCUCGAUAUUUACGGCAGGCAUGAGAGCUGGCUCUAUGGUCAUUUGUAACAGAAGUUGCCAUGUCCUCACAGACUGCAGUACUCGAGACUGGGACUUGCACCUACCAGGGCUACAGGGUAGAGCUGACCCUGUUUGGAGAGAAUGCUGCUUAGCCAGUUCUCUUGGUGUGAGCUAAAGUCAGCCAGCUGACCUGCUCAGAUACUUCUCAGGCAAGGAUCAGGGCUUUGAAUGAUCCCACACCAAUAUCUACCACAUUGGUGAACUUCUGGAGUACAUGAAGGGGCCUGUCCUACAAAUCCACAACUCCAGGACCUCUGGGACACAGAUGAUCUCCAUGACAACAAGAUAUCUGAGAGGAGUCCUAUUGAAAUUCAAGUGUUGAUAGAGUAGCAGAGGCCUUAUACCAUACAAAUCAGCCAUUAUAAUGAACAUUGCAGGCAAAAAGUGAGGAACCCAUGGUGGUGAACUACAGCUUCAACAACAUUGUCCCCCUAUAUUUGGGGAAAGGUGACAAGGGUGAAGAAUGGAUUGUAAGGUAGGGUGAGUUAGUGUGAUUGUGAGUUGUGAAGUGAAAUUCACACAAACACACACAGAAAUGCGCGCGUGAGCACACACACACACACACACACACACACACACACACACACACCAGGGUUUCUAUUCCUGCACAAACAUCAUGAACAAGAACCAAGUUGGGAAGGAAAGGGUUUAUUCAGCUUACACUUUCCACACUGCUGCUCAUCACCAAAGGAAGUCAGGACUGGAACUCAAGCAGGUCAGGAAGCAGGAGCUGAUGCAGAGGCCAUGGAGGGAUGUUCUUUACUGUUUUGCUUCCCCUGGAUUGCUCAGCUUGCUUUCUUAUAGAACCUAAGACUCCCAGCCCAGGGAUGGUACCACCCACAAGGGGCCCUCCUUCCUUGAUCACUAAUUGAGAAAAUGCCCCACAGCUGGAUCUCAUGGAGGCAUUUCCCCAACUGAAGCUCCUUUCUCUGUGAUAACUCCAGCAUGUGUCAAGUUGAUACAAAAAACAGCCAGUGUACACACACACACACACACACACACACACACACACACGCACCUCUAAGUAGUAUAAAGUUAAGCAAAACAAACAGCAGAACUCCAAAUCAAAAGAGCAGGGAUCAUUAGGAUGCAAGUUAGAAAGCUUGUAAAAGCCAAAGUGGUAGUUAUCAUCAAGGACACAACAGAGUUGUUGGAAAUAGAAACCCACAAUGAUUGCUACAGCAUGCAUGAGAGCUGAGCAAGCUCAUACCAGGAAGCAUCUCAUGUACAGGAAAGUGGGGACAUGGACCAAAAUCCAACCACAAGGUGAGAUAUGGUAGCACUUGACAGAUGCUGGGAGAGGCAAAGUCUGCCAAACCCUGAGAAGUCAAAGAUCCCCCAAGGCUGACUUCACAAAUCAGAUCAGUUGGGUAACGAAAAAUUGACCUGAUGGAGAAAUACGAAGGAACGUGAUGAUGAUGAUGAUGAUGAUGACGACUAGGAGGACGAGGAGGACGUGGAGGAGGAGGAAGAGGAGGCAGUCGAAACACGAGGAGAGGAAGGGAAUUGAAAAUGAAGCUAAACGAUGCCAAAUAGCUCAAGGAAGUCCCGGAAACUGACCAGAUUCUCUAGGUUUCUCUUUUCCAAAAUGUAAUCAAGCCAAUCUGCUCAGUGUCUGUCUCAGACAAGACAAGCUACAAAGACAAUGGAAACCAGGUCAGCUAGGUCCCUGUUUGGAGCAGGAAACAUAAUUCUUCCUGGAAGAAAUUUAGAUGAACUGAGACUUAAAAGAGACACUCUUCCACCAGUUGAGCUGCUGUCAGGCUGUGCAGUGUGCUCCAACUUCCCUGCUUCAGUGAGCUUGUAAGCCAUGCUGGGAUGGGCUGGGAUGAUGCAUCUCUCUGUGAGUCAUUUCUUUUCCUGUGAGUCAACUCCCAGCUCACAUUCCUGUUUGUACAGGGAAUACAAUUCAUUGCAUCACCAAGCUGGACUGUGUGGUAUCCAUACUAUUUUGCUAUCUGUAGUGGGUAGAUUUAUGUGUUGCAUAUGCCCAGGAAAGGUUUUGAAGGGACUCACACAAGUGAGGGAUAGAGAAUGCUCACUACACAGCCCAGAAUUAAGCUGAGACCACAAAUCCAGACCCAAACACCCAUUUUUUCACAGAUGCUUUAAAGUGGCUGAUUUCUGACUCAGGAACAGCAGCAAAUGACCCAGUAGCUCUGAUUUUCAACAGCAACUGGUGUUAGGAUGGGCUAGGAUACAGCUGGCUUGUUGUUAUUGAGCAUGGCAAAUAGGUGAGUCUAAAGGGGCUUUUUGAUUCCUGACAUUCAACACAUUGAAAACUGGACCUUGGUAGUAGCCUGAGAAAGAAGACCUAGCCAAAUAAGGGAAUGGACUUUGGAACUGAAGUGCACAGGUGGCUUGCUUCUGCACUCUCCCCCAGAACCCCCCCCCUAGGCUCUCUCCCACAGCAAGAAAGGUGGGGCAUGCAGGUGGCAUUUUCCCUCAGAAGCAUGGGUGGCUCGCUUCUGCACUCUCCCCUUCCCCCCACCCUAAGCUCUCUCCUACAGCAACUGCACUGUGGCGCACAGGUGGCUUGCUUCUGUGGCUUAUCUCUGCGUUCUUCCUCAAAAGUUCCCUCAGAACCCCCAACCCCUGUUUCCUGCCCCCUAUCCAGCAAAUGUGGGGAUUCU
rnacentral:lncRNA from 1 species